rnacentral:lncRNA from 1 species
GCAAUACCGUAGUAAACACCACGAAUGGCAGUAGGAGAGGUUUUGGAAGCAAGCAAACCAAUGUUGCCACCGGGACCGAAUUCACCCAACGUUAAAAAAAUACCGUAAAUGACACAGAAUCCGGCAAUCUUGUGGACCAACUGGUUAUAGAAUCCGGACAUGAAAAAGCCGAAAAUGGAUUGUAAGACAAGACCGGUGAUCAAACAAUAUUUAGGACCAAGUAAAUCAGAGAAAACACCUCCAAGUAAGGCACCAGGAAGGUAGAAGGUAUUGAUUAGAACAUUCCAACCGAAUGAUCUAGCGGUAGAAGCAUCGGCGGGUAAAACACCAUCGACAAUGGUACUGGAAUACAAGCCAAAUGCAAAGGCAGAGAGAUCGUAGACAAACCAAAUGAGGCAAAGAAUGAACAAGCGGAAACCAUACAUUUUCAAUACAAGUAGCCAAGGGAUUUUAGUGAGGGGAACUUUAUGUUUGACAUAGGUUUUGGGAUCCUUCAUGGCAAUACGGAAAGGGAGAAGAACGCAAGGAAUCACAAGACCCAAGCCAAUAGAGAGACGCCAGACAAUACGCAGAUGGUGUUCGCCAAAGAUACAAACUAAAAUAUAGGGGACAAGAGCACCAACGACAAAACCAAAAUCAAUGGCACCGUCCGUAACAACGAUAAAGGCAGCAUGGCGCAAACCCGAUUUCAGUUCGUUGGAAGACUCUGAAGCAGCCACGGAGCCACAAGGAUACUCAGCACCAAUUCCAAUACCCAAGAAAAAUCGAUAAGCAAUAAGGGCAGAAAGCAUGCCAUUGAUACUGCCCUUGUAGCCGUAAGCACCCGUACACAGGGCUGUAGACACAAUCAAAAUAAUUGUAGCGGUAAUCAUGCCAUUCUUACGACCAAAGCGAUCCGAAUACCAACCAAAUGACAAUUGUCCGACAAUGGUGCCGACAUAAGCAAUCAUACCAAUGUCCUGCAACGACUUAUUGUGAGUGGUUUCCUCUGGGUAGAGUUUACGAAGGAUAGUAAUCACUGUACCGAUUGAAUUGGAGCAGUAACCAUCAGACAUCAAAGCAACACCGGCGACAGCAACGUUUAAGAAAUGCUUCCAUUGACUAGUUUCCCGUGAGCCACCCUCGAUGUCGAACUCGGCUUCUUUUUCUGUUACAUGAGCGCCUGAGGACUUGUCGUCCAACUUCUCUUCAUCACUGCGAUAUCGAGUUACGGAAGCUUCAAUUGGCUCUUCAACACUAGGUUCGCUAACCUGUCUAACUACUUCAUCUUCGCCGUUGUCGACAUAUUUUGAUUCAUCCCAGCCACCAGACAUUUUACGACCAGUUUUGAAGACUUUUAUUUUUUUUUUCACACUGAAAUUUCUAGCUGGCAAGCCUGCCACCUUAAAUACCUACACGGUAAAUGUCAAGUCUGCUAAUGAACAAUGCAAAAAUUUCCUCCUUUCUCAAACACACUCGCUACAGAUAGAUUUACUGCCGACUUACAAGUCUCGAAUAACACAACCAAUGACGCUUUCACACUUUGACUUACUGAUUUGAAUGUCCGAAGGAAAAAGCGAUUUAUUCGUAAGUUCAUUUUAGCAGGCCCCUGUCUUAAUUUUAACACAGUUACUUGAGUCUAUCACCACCACAUUGCUCAUGAAUACUGUAAAAGUGACAUCUUUGAGUUGGCAUUUGCCGAUGCAUCCCUUGUCGCAUUUUCUCUCUUGAGACCCAGGCUGGUAUUACGAUUUGGCAACCUCAUCCUGUGGGACAAAAGUUAACGAAACCUUGAUAAUGACCACAUGCCGUUUAACCCAAGGAAUUCUCUUCCCGUGUAGGGAUAAUUGGUUUGUCAGACAAAUGUCCUACACAUGAGGCAACCAUGCCGUAUCAGCAAAGCAAAAAAUGAAGUAAUAGAAUUGGUUGAAGUAGAUUAUAGUAUUUCUAAGAUUAACCACCAUUAAAUCACUCACAAUUCGUUCAAUUGUAUGCAAACCAAGGCCCAGGCUGUACAAUCAUCCUGACCAGAUAAACUGUCACAUUUCAUCGUCAUUCGUGUGAAAGAUAAAACAUGACAGUCACGGAGUCGAUAUUUUGUGUAGUUGAGGGUGACAAACAACGGACGGCAAAGGAAAAGAAAAAAAAAUAAAAAUAAAAACGUUUUAUUCUUGGAAGCAGUUUAAAUUGAGUGAGUGCAAAAAAUUCAUUAGUGCAAAACGUACCAUAGAUGCAAAAACGAUCUAGUAAAGUGCAAAACAAUAUAGUGAAAUGCAAAUAAAGAUAUAGUCAAUGCAAAAAAUGAUUAGACCAUGCAAAACGUUGAAAUGCAUGCCCGAGUUUAGUUUCGUUUGAGAUAGUUUUAAGGGGGUUGUUUGAAUAUGCAGACAAAACGACUCGUUCUGCCAACAUCAAGGAUGAGUGAAUUCAUAAUAUUCACUCUCCCUUGGGUUCAUUUGAUUAAAUUUGAUAUGACACUUUCAUCUUUCACAUCACACAGUCAGUAUGUGAGUGCAGCAUUUAAAAAAAUUUCACUUCGUAAAACUAUGAUAAAGUCGACAAUCCGAGCAUUCUAUGCGUAUUUCGUUAAACAAUAGAAGCAACAAGAUUGGUAUGCAUAGUCAGUCUAGUCAAUUCAAUUCAAUUCAUUCGAAUAAACUAUAGGAACGAAAUGAAUAUCAUAAACAGAGAUUUUGUGUAACAAUGUAUAUUAAAGAGAUAAACACAUUAAACUUUUAAUCUAAAACACAACACAAAAUAGAGGGCAUCCUCGACAAUGCCUUGCUUCAACAAACCCUCAUCACACAAACACAUACAACUCCCAUCCAUCAAUAGAUGCACACGAUUCACAAAUCAAUGUAUGUAUAUCCAUGCGAUCCAUUGCAUCAAGGAGGAAUGAUGGAAUGCAUGAAUGAAUGAAUGGAAGGAUGAAAAAAUAAGGAAUU